rnacentral:misc_RNA from 1 species
GGAGAUGGGGGAGAGAUAGCUGAGAUGAGUUUAAGAGAAAGAAUGGUAAAACGAAAAGGUGGGGUUAGGGUUUUACAUAGUCCAAUUAUGGGUGGAUGUACAUAAGGAAAAUUGGUGUUUUUUUUCUUUUCCUAAGAGGAAAUGGGGUAUAGCCAUGUAACUGUGGGGAUACUUGAGGUGAAUUCUUCUCUUCAAUAUAUGAUAUGAAAUAUCUGCUCUUGAUUC